CGCAGCCGCGGUAAUUCCAGCUCCAAUAGCGUAUAUUAAAGUUGUUGCAGUUAAAAAGCUCGUAGUUGAAUUUCGGGAUCAAUAUAUUGGUCGUGCCUUCGGUAUGCACUGGUAUUAUUGAUUUCUACCUUCUGACGAACCAUGAUGUCAUUAAUUUGGUGUCAUGGGGAAUCAGGACUGUUACUUUGAAAAAAUUAGAGUGUUUAAAGCAGGCACACGCUUGAAUACAUUAGCAUGGAAUAAUGAAAUAGGACGUUUGAUCUUAUUUUGUUGGUUUCUAGGAUCGACGUAAUGAUUAAUAGGGAUAGUUGGGGGCAUUAGUAUUCAAUUGUCAGAGGUGAAAUUCUUGGAUUUAUUGAAGACUAACUACUGCGAAAGCAUUUGCCAAGGAUGUUUUCAUUAAUCAAGAACGAAAGUUAGGGGAUCGAAGACGAUCAGAUACCGUCGUAGUCUUAACCAUAAACUA
rnacentral:rRNA from 1 species